CUCAAGGAUUUUCCAAAGUUUACUUCUCCAUUUAUUGUGGAAAAAUCAAAAUCUAAGUUUCAGCUCCUCUAGGGAGCUUUCAUCUGGACACAAAUAAAUGGAGAAGUAAACUUUGGAAAAUCCUUGAGU